rnacentral:rRNA from 1 species
CCUACGGGUGGCAGCAGUGGGGAAUAUUGCACAAUGGGGGGAACCCUGAUGCAGCGAUGCCGCGUGAGUGAAGAAGUAUUUCGGUAUGUAAAGCCCUGUUAGCAGGGAAGAAGAUCGCCGGUACCUGACCAAGAAGCCCCGGAUAAAUAGGUGCCAGCAGCCGCGUGAAUACGUAGGGGGCAAGCGUUAUCCGGAUUUACUGGGUGUAAAGGGAGCGUAGACGGGAGGGCAAGUCUGGAGUGAAACGCAAGGGCCCAACCCCUGGACUGCUCUGGAAACUGUCCGGCUGGAGUGCAGGAGAGGUAAGUGGAAUGCCUAGUGUAGCGGUGAAAUGCGUAGAUAUUAGGAGGAACACCAGUGGCGAAGGCGGCUUACUGGACUGUAACUGACGUUGAGGCUCGAAAGCGUGGGGAGCAAACAGGAUUAGAUACCCUUGUAGUC